rnacentral:rRNA from 1 species
AACGAGACCUUAACCUGCUAAAUAGUCCGGCCGGCUUUUGCUGGUCGCAGACUUCUUAGAGGGACUGUCAGCGUCUAGCUGACGGAAGUUUGAGGCAAUACCAGGUCUGUGAUGCCCUUAGAUGUCCUGGGCCGCCCGCGCGCUACCCUGCCAGAGCCAGCGAGUUCUCACCUUGGCCGGAAGGUCUGGGUAAUCUUGUGAAACU